CUAAUUUUUAACUCAAGAUGCAAGUUCUGAAAUUUGUCAAGGUAUUACUAGUGAUCUCUUUUUCCUAUCUGUAGGUUCGUUGCAACAGGGGAAAGCUAUGCCCACUGUAUUAUUGGCAGUGCAAGUUGGCCUGGUGCACCACAUAGGUACUUCAAACACCUUUGUUAUUGGAUGUAUAGGCUUCUUCCAGAUCCUCAGAAAGAGGCAAACAACCCAGUAAAUGGUCCUCGACUCCAUGCCAGUCGAUUUGAAACAUCUCACCAUUCUUGAUGAACUGAGAGUCUAGGACUGCCCUAUUUUGAAAGAUAAUGUCACAGGAGAAGAAAUCUCAGGCCCUAGUGCACAUGUUAGACGAUCUUCAUUAAUUGGAUGAGCAGAAAUAGGUACAUUACUUACAAACCCGUUCCUUUCUCUUAACAAAUUGCUUUGCAUAAUUUGCAUAUCUGUUUUGCAUUACAGUAUAUAAGCUCAAACCAAUAGGCACCUUACUUUCUGUAAGGAGGCAGAAAUUACAACUCCAAGCUCGCGUAAACUGUUUUAAAUCAGAACUUGAUGCUUAGAGAUACAGAGCCAUCUUCUCCACUUUGCAUACUAUUGUUCUCAAAUAGUAACAGUCUCUUGCCAAUUGCCAUUCCAAAACGAGAUAGAUUUCAUUAUUUCUUUCUAGAUGUUCUCUGACGCACUAAGGGAUUUAAGCAUAUCUGCGCACAACUGACAGAGAAGCAACGUAGCCUUCCUCCCCUUCUUGAGAAGCUGACUUUGGAUAUGGGCAUUCUUGAAAGCUCAUAUUUGCCUCUUCUUUAUAACAACAACAACUAGACAAAUCUCAACUACUUGGAAAUUUCCAAUUCUUCACAAUCAUCUGUCCCCGUAGGCUUUAACCUGCUUCAUAAAAAUUUGGACACAAAUUUUCAUCUGUGAAUCCCUCAACUUUGGGCCUAAUGAUUUGAGCCAUCUCACCCUGCUUGAACUUUUUAAGUGUAGUUGAACUUUUAAGUGUAGUAAUCACUUGGUCUUGUUUGUAGACUGUAAGCAGAAGCUUCAACUCACAUUGGGAUGUCAAUGUAAGUGGCAUGCCAUUCUUGGCUUUGUAAGUACCAUACUAAGUGUUAUUGAGUUAACAUUAAAUCAACUAACAAUGUAAGGACACAAAAUCAAAGCUUGGAGAUAUUGGGAUACAGAACCAUCUUCUCAACUUGCAUACUAGGAGUCUCUCGUAUCUAUUGGCUAAUGUUCUAUAAUUUUUGUUGACUAAUAUUACCGCGGUCUCUUUGGUACAAUAAUAUGAAUUACUUAGUGAAGGAGAUGAGCUGCAUGUGUAAGAAUGAAAUACUUCAGUGAAUGCCUGAGGCCUGUUUAGUGUUUAUUAGCUUAGUAAUAACAUAGCAUUGUUUGCGGGAUGCAGGGCUGUGAUUUGAUUCUCAAAUAGAGGACUCACAUGCUUGGGGCACCAAUUUUCUCAUUAAUAAGUAAACGUAGAAGCAAUUUUCACUUACUAAACUGUCAUGAUUAGGAAACAUCAUGUUGAUACGCUUGUUAUUGAAAUGGCCCCGAACCACUCUUUUGGAUUGGUAUCUUUAGAAUGUUACAGGAUACUUUUUUUUCUUCAGAAAAGUUAUUAUUGAUCGUAAAUGUGGGCUGAAGGGUUAGAAAUCCUGCUACUCUAUGCAUAAUGGACACCUAGUGUUGAUCAUAAAAAAAGGAGCAUGCGUGUUAAUUACUGUGGUCGUCUUAUUAAGUUGAACCAUAUUCUGGAGGAGUUUUCAGACACUGUAAAUAUUUUGAAGGAGAAUGUACUGAUGACUGUUUUUUUUAGUGUUGUAUAGAUUUUGCAAGGAAGUUUUAUAUGUGUGCUGUUGUGAUUGCUGCAUGACUGGAGAGGGACUUCAGAUGAUUGAGUAGUCAAUUUACUUAAGCAGAAGCAGUUGAGAUAUUUGGAUGAAAUCAGUGAAUACUUACAAGGGAGAUCGAAAGAAGUACUUGACAAUCUUGAGAACAAGGGCUUGCCGCGUACGCAUCACCAGAAGUUUCCAAAGCAACCACGUCGCGGACUGCACAACCUAGUUAGUAACAUUGACACAUCAGCAGAGAAAGCCAGCUCUGCAACAGUUUAACAGAAACAGUUAAUAGUUGUACUUAGUUAGAAGGUUAAGACAUUCUGUUAGAGUGUUAUUGUUGUUACAGAUCUGUGUAUAAAAAGUGAAUGUAAUUAGAAGAAAUACAACAAGAGAGAAUACAAUUUGAUCUUCCUCAAUUCUACUUCUUAUAUUAACUUUGUAUCAGUAUAUGCUCAACACUAAAGAUUCUUUAAUGGUGGUUUAGAAACCCUAGAUUUUCAUUUUUUUUCUUCUUUUCAUCUCAGUUUCAUCUAUUUUUGUUCCACAACUUCACAAAU
rnacentral:lncRNA from 1 species